AUGGGUUGUGUGAAGUCGAAGGAAGUGAAUGAAAGUAGAGUGACUGAGUUAGGGCGAACGAGUCCGAAUGAGUUGCUGAGUCAUAGCUUUGGGAAAUUGGAUAAGUCUGUUCAACGUCAACUCGAGGCGGUUGGUUGGCCGAAGUGGCUUGUUGCCGCGGCUGGUGAAGCUAUUCGCGGUUGGAUUCCAUUAUGUGAAGAUAAGUUUCAGAUGAUGGAACAGGUUCACCAUAGUUAUUACUAUUAUUAA